CCGGACUGCUAUCGGAUUGAUACUAAGCCAUGCUAGUCUUUGUAGUAAUACAAGGCAUACGGCUCAGUAACGCGUAGUCAACCUACCCUAUGGACGGGGAUAAUCUCGGGAAACUGAGCAUAAUACCCGGCAGACCACUUAUCCUGGAAUGGUUAGUGGUUAAAAUGAUUCGUCGCCAUAGGAUGGGACUGCGGCCUAUCAGCUUGUUGGUGAGGUAAUGGCCCACCAAGGCGAUUACAGGUACGGGCUCUGAGAGGAGAGGCCCGGAGAUGGGUACUGAGACAAGGACCCAGGCCCUAUGGGGCGCAGCAGGCGAGAAAACUUUGCAAUGUGCGAAAGCACGACAAGGUUAGUCCGAGUGAUUUCUGCUAAAGAGAUCUUUUGCUAGUUAUAAAACCACUAGUGAAUAAGGGGUGGGCAAGUUCUGGUGUCAGCCGCCGCGGUAAAACCAGCACCCCAAGUGGUCAGGAUGAUUAUUGGGCCUAAAGCAUCCGUAGCCGGCUCUGUAAGUUUUCGGUUAAAUCUAUACGCUCAACGUAUGGGCUGCCGAAAAUACUGCAGAGAUAGGGAGUGGGAGAGGUAGACGGUACUCGGUAGGAAGGGGUAAAAUCCUUUGAUCUAUCGAUGACCACCUGUGGCGAAGGCGGUCUACCAGAACACGUUCGACGGUGAGGGAUGAAAGCUGGGGGAGCAAACCGGAUUAGAUACCCGGGUAGUCCCAGCUGUAAACGAUGCAGACUCGAUGAUGCAUUGGCAUAUAGCCAGUGCAGUGUCGCAGGGAAGCCGUUAAGUCUGCCGCCUGGGAAGUACGUACGCAAGUAUGAAACUUAAAGGAAUUGGCGGGGGAGCACCACAAGGGGUGAAGCCUGCGGUUC
rnacentral:rRNA from 1 species